UGGGCUUGACAUGCACGGGAAAGCCGGUGGAAACAUCGGCCCCUCUUCGGAGUCCGUGCACAGGUGCUGCAUGGCUGUCGUCAGCUCGUGUCGUGAGAUGUUGGGUUAAGUCCCGCAACGAGCGCAACCCUCGUCCCUAGUUACCAGCGGGUUAUGCCGGGCACUCUAGGGAGACUGCCGGUGUCAAACCGGAGGAAGGUGGGGAUGACGUAGCUAAGCCUUC
rnacentral:misc_RNA from 1 species